rnacentral:rRNA from 1 species
GAUGAACGCUGGCGGCGUGCCUAAUACAUGCAAGUCGAGCGAACAGACGAGGAGCUUGCUCCUCUGACGUUAGCGGCGGACGGGUGAGUAACACGUGGAUAACCUACCUAUAAGACUGGGAUAACUUCGGGAAACCGGAGCUAAUACCGGAUAAUAUAUUGAACCGCAUGGUUCAAUAGUGAAAGACGGUUUUGCUGUCACUUAUAGAUGGAUCUGCGCCGCAUGAGCUAGUUGGUAAGGUAACGGCUUACCAAGGCAACGAUGCGUAGCCGACCUGAGAGGGGGGUCGGCCACACUAGAAGUGGGACACGGUCAAGACUCCUACGGGAGGCAGCAGUAGGGAAUCGUCCGCAAUGGGCGAAAACAUGACGGAGCAACGCCGCGUGAGUGAUGAAGGUCUUCGGAUCGUAAAACUCUGUUAUUAGGGAAAAACAAAUGUGUAAGUAACUAUGCACGUCUUGACGGUACCUAAUCAGAAAGCCACGGCUAACUACGUG